rnacentral:rRNA from 1 species
AUGCAUGGACUCGAGUUACAAGAGGAGAAGACUAGCAAGCAGGACAGCAAACAGGUCUCGAAUAUUCGGUUGUUCCUCUGCUCUGCACGAGGCACCGCAGGAAGCAGAGCCGGGACGAUACCACCGCUCUGCUUCUGUCGAGAGCGCAGCGCCAUGCCUUCCCCUCCCCUGUCCGCCGUCAUCAUCCUCAGCGACAGCGACGACGACGACGACGCGGCCGCCCUCUUGGUGACCGCCGCGGAGCGCUUCACCUCGUCCCUGACCACCCAGGCCGAAGUCGAGGCCCUCUGCGAGAAGCACGGCGUCCCGGGGGAGCUCGCCGCGAGCCCCGCCGGCGACCGGCGCGCGUGCUCGCCGCCGCCGGAGGGGGGCGUCUGCGUGUACGCGCACGCGCUGGAGGCCGGGGUGCGCUUCCCGCUCCACGACUUCUUCUGCAAGACGCUCUCCCACUUCGACCUCGCGCCCGGCCAGCUCACGCCCGACGGGUGGCGCGUCCUGGUCGGCUUCUUGGCCCUCUGCCACGACGCCUCCGUGCCGCCGUCGGUCGCCGUGUUCCGUCAUUUCUUCUCGCUCCGAAGCAGGAAGGGCUGGUACUGCUUCCGGUGCAAGGAAGGUGCCGGCGCGCUGGUUACUGGCCUGGGCAGUUCCGAAUCCGACGGGGAGUAG